UAUGUAUAUUAACUUGUUGAAUCCUAUCUGCAGCCCUAUGAAGCAGGAGGAGUUGUUCCCAUUUUACAGAUGAGGAAGUUACACUUGAGGUUACGUCCUGCAUCCAGAGAUGAGGGAGAGCAUAUGAGGAAACUGAGGCCCAGUUAGUGGUGGUGGAGCAAGUCAGAGCACAGGGCCUGUGCUCAACCAUGGGGCUGUUCCUGGCACAGUGGACCCUCCAGGAUGAGGGCUGCAGGAAUGUGGCAGAUAGCAGACCUUCUGGAAGCAGAAGAGGGUGAGGAAUGGCCACGACCUGGAUAGAGAACCUAUCCUCAGCGGAAAGGAAGAGGGAAGAUUUUGGUUAGACUUUAACAGAUGCCUGUUCUACCAGCCAUGGACAGUCUGCAGCUGCAGCUACAUGGAGACCAGACCCAGCCUAAUCCUCAGCCUCAGGCCCAAAUACACCAAGAUGAAGGCAAGCCCAGACUACGGGAUCGGUCCAAACAAUCGGCCACGUUUCCCACGCGUCCCCAUCGCACACAGAGUGCACGUGGACUGUGCGCAUGGAGACAGCCGAGCACCAAAGAGAUCAAAGCAGGCAGCGAUGGAGCUCCGUCCCCAGGGCACAGACACAUAGCAACAAGGUGACUCUCACUCCCUAUCAGUGAGUUCUAGAAAAAGUAAGAAAUCACAAGCCACGUAGAUGGCCAGAGGCAGAGUCUGGGUCAUCCCACCAACCUUGUGGAUUUAAAUUUACUGCUCAAAGCAGCAGAAACCUGCUGUGUUUGAUUCUUGGCGAGAGCAGGAUUAUGUCCACAUGAUGGUCAGGACUUGGGAACCAGGAACAGCAGGAAGCCACCUGCCAUACCCAACAGUCAUGCUCUCUGGGGGGGGACAUGUAAAGUGGCCACAAAGAGGAGGAACAUUUUAAAUGGGGGAAAAAAAAUAAAAAGAUGCUGGAGAGUAUCUGGUAUUCACAAAAGUGAAAAAGCACCAGUUGAGACCGGAUUUCCCAUGGGUUCUAAAAUGUAGCAUGCUGGCAUGCACAGAAUAUAAUUUCCAUUUUAAACCACUUUAAGAUAACUUCCAAUACAUGGAUAAUAAAGACCUUUUUUCCC